AUGCUGUCUGCGAUUCCCUGGUCAGCUAAACUCUGACCUUCGUAAGCUUGCUGUCAAUCUUAUCCCAUUCCCUCGUCUCCACUUCUUCAUGGUGGGAUUUGCUCCUCUCACCUCAAGAGGAUCUCAGCAGUACCGAUCCCUCACAGUCCCUGAACUCACCCAGCAAAUGUGGGACUCCAAGAACAUGAUGUGUGCUGCUGACCCAAGACACGGCCGCUACCUCACAGCCUCUGCCAUGUUCCGUGGCAAGAUGAGCACCAAGGAAGUCGACGAGCAGAUGCUGAACGUGCAGAACAAGAACUCUUCUUACUUUGUCGAGUGGAUCCCAAACAAUGUGAAGUCAACAGUCUGUGAUAUCCCACCUACUGGUCUGAAGAUGGCUUCCACCUUCAUCGGCAACUCAACAUCUAUCCAAGAGAUGUUUAGGCGUGUUAGCGAGCAGUUCACAGCUAUGUUCAGGAGGAAGGCUUUCUUGCAUUGGUACACAGGUGAGGGCAUGGACGAGAUGGAAUUCACAGAGGCAGAGAGCAACAUGAACGAUCUUGUUUCCGAGUACCAGCAAUACCAAGACGCAACCGCAGAUGAAGAAGGCGAGUACGAGGAUGAGGAAGAAGGAGAAUACCAACAGGAGGAGUAUUGAGAGAGAGUAAGUGUACACCACCUUAAAAAAUCAAUUUAGUCUUUUGCUUUUCUUUCUUUUUUAAAACAAAGAAACCUCAACUACCAGUUGCAGGUUUUUUUUAUGCUUGUAUUAACAACUCUGGAUCUUGUUGACUUAUGGUGUGGUUUGUGUACUUUUGAUCUUAAAAUUCGGUUCGUUCUUCGUAUAUCCCCUGUUUAAUUUGAAUCUUGACGUCUGGUUUUGUUUGUUUUUAUUUUUGUUGUUUUGAAUUUUGAAGAUAUAUAAGGCAAAAUAUUAUGAUUCAAAAACCCGAGAAUUAAAACAAUAGAAAGGAGAGUUCCCAAAUUUCUAUUAAGGUAAAUAACGUUUUGUGAGUCCGAUUCAAGGAAAACAGUAUUAGGGGUUUACUAUUUUAGGGUUUUUUAAGAGACUCAAAGCUUAUGUACGAUACAAGCACCGAUCUAACCGAUGACGCCGGUCUACACUCUAACGACUGCCUGUGAAGUCUCAAUUGAGAUUUUGAUGCGUCUCCAAGCUUAAGUCCUUGAUUAUCACCAGCAGAGAAUUCAGGAAUCGGCACUUGAAUACUGCUUCUUCCUCAGCUUCUCCUCGUCCCGUCUCCUCAUUGUUUUUGAGGACUUUUACAGAGAAAAGCUUCCGGUAGAUUUGUCGCCUCUUCCUCCUCUUCUUCUUACAGAGAUCUUAGCCUAGUCAAAAUUGAUGGGAGAAAGGUGUAUAAUCCGUGUCUUUAGUGAUCACUUCUCUAUCACCUAGACAAAUCUCACUUUUCAGUAAUUGCUCCAGUGCACAUUCUUCAAUCAUGUAGUGGGUUAAACGAUUUCGAAAUGGGUCAAAGAUUCUACCACUUGUACUAUAAUGCUAUAAAGGACACCUGCAUUGCAAGCACAUCCCUUGUCAUCUCGGAUAAAAUUGAAAACUUGCAGCGGUUCAAUUUCCACCAUCCCAAAACAUAACAUCAUAAUCUGUACCGAAUAUAUUUUUUUUUGGAGUUUCACAUUUCUCCUUUAAACAUAUAUCCAAUUUCGUACCUGAAUCUUCAGUUCCUAACUCAUCUACCAUUUUUUGUACACAAAAUCCAUUUUUCAUAUCCAAUCUCAAAAUCUAAAUCUAUUUUUGUCAAAGACAUUACCUGUAGCAUGAUCUUGAAUCGAAUUACCACUCCGAGACUCAGUACCUGUGAAUUUAGAUGAUGUCUCACCUCUAGAUAGCUUGCUGCUAUACUCCUCAAACAACUUCUUCAUAACCGUAGUCACAUAAUCAGACAACUCCCUUGAUUCAGGACUAUCUUUUUCAUAAAUCCCGUCAAAAUAAAGUGUAGCAAACCUUAUUUUGUUUCUCGGAUCUAAGAUACUCGCAAUGAUUAGAAGCUUAUUGAUCUCUGAUCAUCCUAGUACUUAUCAAAUUUCUCUCUCAUUGCAUCAGCCUUUGUCCUCAUUGUUGGAUCCUGAUCAGUCUUAGCUUUAUCAAGUUGGUUUCGAUAGUCACAAUCUCAUUGUAACACUUGUCAGAAUUCAGUGAAGUAGAUGCUGAAACAGCUAAAGUAGAGUUGUAAAAGAUAAUCAGAAACCUUACUCAUCUUGCAACCGAAUCCCAAUCAUCCUUUGUUACUGGUCCAACUCUCUUAUUUCCUUCUACUUGUUCUUGAAAGUAAGCAUUGUAGAGCAUGUAUUCUGCUUGCAUUCUAUCAAAACCUGUCCUUAACUUCAGAGCUCUUAUCAGCAUAAGGUAAGUUGAAUUCCACCGUGUUUUACAUUCUAAGGGUAAACUGCCUCUUGACAUUUUGCUGAUUCCACUCUUAGAUCGAAUGUCUUUAUUCUGUUAGUAGAAGCUCUCACAUACUGAACACCAUUACAGAUCGCAGAUACACUUUUGCCAACUUCAUGUAACCCAUCAUUCACUAUCAAGUUAAUGAUAUGAGUAACAGAAAGUAAAUGCAUGUGGUCACCUCCUAAAACCAAUGCGUGAUCACCUGUUCUGCUGAAAGCCUCCUUAAACUUCCUCGGUGCACUGGUGUUGGCAGUGGCGUUGUCAACAGUGAUUGUGAAGACCUUCUCUAUCCCCCAAUCAGCCAAUCACUCUAGCAAAACUCUGCGAAUUGUAUUUCCCUUGUGAUCGUCGAUGUUCUUAAAUCCUAUGAUCAGCUUCCUUAUAAUUAGCUGCCACUUUACAUCAAUGAAGUGAGCCGUGAUGACCAUAUAGCUAGCUCUGGUUGUGGGAGCAACCCAAAUAUCAGUUUUCAAAGACACCAUUUGCUUGUUUGCACCAAGCACCUUUCUCAUAGCAGAUUCCUUCUUAAUAUACAUCCCCACAAAUGUGACUGUUCUCCUUGACUUUGAAUUUGGAAGAUUCACACAAUUGCAGAAAUGUCUCCAAGCCGGAAUUUCAAUAAAUGAAAGUGGCAAUUCAGCCAAAAACAAUCAUCUCAUUCGAUACUUCUCUAACCACUUCUUCUGAAACCUUGGACAACUGCAGAGUACCACUUCCAUCUUCAAAAACUAUGAUAUUCUGCCUGUCUCUUUCUAGUUUCCUCCCACACAAUAUGUUCCUUGCGAAUUUCCAGAUGCUUCUUCAAGCUUGAACGAAGUUCCACACUUGGUGUUACAGGACAUCGAUUUACCACAAUAAUGACAUAUGCAGGUGUUCACAUCCUCCUCAGUUCUAGUAACCUUGUGUUACUCUUAGUGACCUUAAAUUUCUUUUUUUUGGCUUCGACGGAGUUGAAAUAGUUUCACUCCUUGGAUUCUCCUUGCUUAUGUUUGUUUUUCUCUGUGCAAGGGUAGUUCCGUGAUCAUCUUCAGCAAAAACAUCCUUUGUUGGUGAUGAAGAAUCCAUCUGCAUAAACAUUAGAGAACUUCUUUCAGCUUUCUAAGAACACCCAAAACCCAAAUCCAGACAUGAAAGAUAAAACUCAAAUCGUGAAAUUAAAGAGAAACAAUCAAGACAGAAGAAUCAGAGAAGGAACAUUUACCUGCGAAUCAACUAUCAACGACGAUAAAGGAGGAGAAUGGUGGUGGUGAUCGUGAAAUUGAACUAUGGUUUCAAGUUUUUCCAAUUUGGGAUUUAAUAUAAGGGGGGAAAAAUAGAGAGAAGAAAUUGAAUGUUUUUUUUUCUACAUAUAUGUUUUGUAUAUGAUUUUCAUUUUUCAGGGGUAGGUUUAUGCAAUUAAGGUGUUGAUUAGUUCACCCUCCGAAAACGCCACGCUGCGUUUGCGGUUGGUAGCGGUUAGUUGCGUUUUAUAACAGUCAUACAAAUUGCUGCAAACGCUCCAUAUCAUUUUAUACCGCUGAAAUCCAAAGCUGCUUCCCGCCAGCGUUUGCGGUUUCGAGCGGUAGCGGUUGGAUAAAAAAAAAUAGAAGAUCACGUUAAAAAAAAUUAUUAAACCCUAACUCUACUAACCUUUAAUUAGUAAACAUAAUUUGGAGUAAUAUUUCCAACAAUUGAAAUAAAAUAUAUUAUUACAAAAUUUCUUAGUUUUUAAAAUAAUUAAAUAGUAUUUAUUUAUAUUUUUUUAUUAAUUAUUUUGAAUUGAUUUUGUUAUUAAGCAUGAUAAUAUAGUUUUUAUGUUUUUUUAAUCAUUAGUUUUGAUGUUUAUUUUGGUAAUUUUAUGUUUAACCGCUAAAACAUUUGCUGGUUCGCCAGUUAAAAAUAUUCCGCAAACGGAUCCGUUUAAAAAAAUUUAACCAGUCGUGGACACCGCUUAACAACGCUCAAAACCACAAUCUCCCGCUUCCGCAAACUCCCGCACUCGCAACCGCAACCCUGCGUUUAAACCAGUCAAGCCCUAAUUCAAAGAGUUUUUUUGUUAUUUGCACGUUUAUAUUUCUGUUCUCGGGUUUACCCUAACCCAAACCAAGAACCAAAUCAAAUAAAUUUUAGAACCAUUCGGUUUUUGCAUUCAACCCAAAUCAACCCCGAACCUGUUUUUUCCGGGUCGGUUUGGUUCGGGUCGAGCGGGUUUGAUUUUUAAGCCCAGACUGAGUACCAAAUGCAUAAACAUCAGUUCUUCUAGAAGUUCCAUUAUUGUUAGCUCAGGUGUGAUGCUGCUAAGGUUAGGGGAUCGUAGAUGAAGCUUUAAAUUUAUUAAACCCUAGUUUCUGCAAAUGCACAGUCGUGCGAUGUAGUAGUAGUACUUAGGGUGUUGAUCCACAUGAAGGUUGUCUAAUCUGUAAAAACUUCAAACUGGAAUAAGUAAGCGAUUUAAUAAACUCAUGAUAUUUUUGUGAGGUUUUUGUUUUUUUACGGGAAAAGAAAACAAUAAAUAAAACUAAAGAAAAUCUUAAACUAAUCGAUAUAGGCCUAAUAAUGAAAUGCAUGUUGGGCUGUGAUAACACCGUAUUUUGACCACUUUUAUGGAUCGUUUAGAAUACUUUUUCUAUGUUUUCUAUUGCUUUCAAGUACUUUUAUCACGUUUUUCUAGUAUUUGUAGUUCCAAGACUCUUUUCAGGAAACUUAGGGAAAAGCUUAACAAAAUGGAUAGAAAACCAGAUUUUUAGCUCAGAGUCAAACCGUCAGAAGUUCUCCACCGAUUGAAAGCCUUCUCACCGUCUGAUCCAGCUCAAAUUUGGAGAUCUCAAAGAUAGAAGUAUCAGCUUUCCAGCACACUUUACAGCUUGGCAAUCCAACGGUUCAAUCAAAAGAUACGCGAAGAGCAAGAUGUCCCGUAAACCAGCUGGCGAGCAUUUCCACCCGCGGCCAACAGGCCAUUCCCUGCGGUCACAAGCAUCCAGACCACUGCCAGCCAUCCAUUCCCCGCGGUCACGCACAUCCCGACCGCGGCCAGCUAACUCCAAGUUUGAAGGCCCAUUUCUGAAGACCAUAUCAUUUUCUCAGCCUCAAUUCCGGAACCCUAAACACCAGAGAGUAUUGGAGACUAUAAAUACAUAUCAUUUAGGUCGUUUUUAAAAAGAGAAGAGGAGAGACGAAAUACUUUAGAGAAAUUUUACUUCAAGCUUUGUUUUUAGGUUUUAGGGAGAGAGAGAUUUGUCUCUUGAACCCUUGUUCUUUCUUUUUCAAUUUUGGUUUUUGUUCUACUUUUUAAUACUAUGUUUUUGAUUUCGUUCAUUAUGUCUGAGUAGUUUUAUUGUUGGGUCUAAGGGAUUUUUGAUGGGGAUAUAUGUGUUCGAUGAUGAUUCCAUGAGCUAUUGAGCCGAAUCUUAGACCUUUUUCUUCUGAAUUCGUUUUUACUGCAUGAGAGUAGCGUCAUGAACUACAAUCUGAUCCAGAUACUUGGUGACACGAAAGUGUUCAUCCGAUGUCAGAUCUAGUUUGGGAGAUCAAAACAAACAUAGGAGUAGAAACCUACCUAUGGACAAUUUGUGAAUGCUGACGAGUCUUAAACAUAAUGCAUCUAUUCUCUUCCAGGGCCAGAGUGGAAACCUACUGGUCAGUGUUGAGAGAUAUAGUUAUCUAUGAUCACGACAAUGGUGUAUUCAUACGUCCGUGACUCCAGUUCGAAAAGUUUAAGCUAAGAUCUUAUCAAAUUUACUCUCUCUAGCAAUGUUUUGAAUCGUUCAUACCCCUGAGAAAACUUCACUGAACCCCAGCGCCUUCUUUCCUAUAGAUUUACACCGAUUUUCAUUCAUGCUUUAGUCUAGUAUCUUUACUCUUUCAAUCGAUUUUCAUUUAAGCAAUUAGGUUUAGCCGUUUUUCUCGUUUUUAGCCGUUUUUGUUAAGUUUAGUUAUUAUGUCAUUUUAAUUUCCGUAUUUUCCUUUUAAGAUUAGUUUUUACGUUUUAAACACACCACCAAAACCCUCACAAAAAUCACCUGGUUCUAGACUUCCUUACUUUAUAUUUCUUUCAAAGGCUUUUGCAGGAAAGAUCCUCCUUCCCUGUGGAUUCGAUCCCUAAGUACUACAAUCGAUCAGCUGUGCACUUGCGGCUAUUGAUUUCAUUUAGGGUAAAACUUGACACCCUCACGCAGACACCACAUCAAAUUUUUGGCACCGUUUCCGGGGAAGGCACGCAUUUUCUUUUCCGCAAAACCCUAAGAAAGGUUGGUAAAUCGACUCUAGAACCCCUUUUUCUGCAUAUUUCCAUUUUUUCGGUUAUUUUGUUUCCAUUCCAGAAGCAAUGGAUCCUAUAAAUCGAAAUCCCUACUAUGAGGGAGGCUUUUACAACACUCCUCAAGGCACCAGACGCAAAGAAAAACAAUACCUACGUGAUCUCUACGAAGAAGUUCGAACCGAAGACUACAGAACGUUCCUGAACGAGCCUUACAUGCCUCUAAUGGUAAACCCUAGACCACCUAUGUAUCGCCUACCUCACCAGGUUCUCCAGCAAGAUGAGAACUUCCAUCUCAGUAACCGAUUGAGUCAGCUCGAGGGCGUAAUCAAGCAGUUCAUAGAAGCUCAAGUAACCGCUACAACCGCUCUUAAUGAAAGGAUUGACGGGAAAUCAAAACUUUUCAAUGAGAAGAUCAAUAACCUAGCUUCACAAGUCAAAUGAAUAGAAGAACGAGCAACCAAAGACGCAGCUAUGAUCGCUAACAGGUUCGACAACAUGGAAGAAGAGCAGGCAACACACACCUACGAGCUUCGCAACACUAAAAACAAAAUGAUGGACCUGAAUUUCAAACUUGAUGAUGUGGACAAAGCCCUCAACGAAGCUAAGAACGAGUCUUAUGACUUCACAGUCAAAUUUUCAGAGAAAGUUUACAAAGUCAUUGACAAAACCGAAGAGCUUGACUCAACUAUGGACAAAGUAGUCUAUGCUCUUGAUGAAGUUGAAGAAAAGGUUGAGGAGAUCAUACAAGGACUUGGAGAGCAGAUUCCAGCAGCCAAAACUAAAGACCUCAUUAGUACCAAUCAGUUGAACAUCUUCUUCAGUAACCUGAUUUGAAGAGCCAACAAUCCAGAAAUCAAAAAGGAAGAAAGUAGAGCAUACAAAAUACUACACUUGCAUUAGGAUAGCCAAUAGACAUGAAAACAAAAUACACUGACAAACAAGUUUUGGGAAUCAAUACGUACUUCUUUCCGGGAAAAAGAUCUCGAAAACAAGCGGUAGAGCAGUUUUCUUGUUAAUCCAGUCACUCAAACUAGUUGAGCUUCUCGUGGAUUGUGGAUUCACCAUAGCUAAUUCCGAACCAUGAGGAAUUGUGAAGGCUAUGAUCUUCAGCGUCAGUGAUGGGUGGUGGAUUCACCAUAGCCGAAGCGAAUCAAGAAGGAUCUUCUCAAAACAAAAGACAAACGAAAUCCAGCAGAAAGAGUAAUUAUUAUAUCACCCAAGAGUAAUUAUUAUAUCACCUAAUUACGUAAGUCGAUCGGUUCAACGAAAAACAAAAUUAAUUAUAAAAUCUCACGCUAUUUGGUUUUUGGUGAUUGAUCUUUUUCGUUUUUUUUAAGGGAUAAAAAUAUCAAUAUUUUAAACUUAAUAAUGAAAAUGUUAGACCGCUUCUUGACAUGCAUUGCUUUAGCGGAGUAAAAGUGUAAAACGCAUGCAACAAAGUAAUGUUUCUAGCAAAACUUCUCACCCAAGUUAGGUCACAUUUUACAAGAUCUCCAAUCCGAUCCCUAGUUAGGUCAUUUACAAAAUUCAUCUUGAAACUACGAUCUGGCCAGCACUUUUCGAUGAGCUAGCGGCAGCAAAAGAGAGGGAUCAGUGCCUUGCUUUCGUUGAGACUGUACCGUAGCAGAGAUGCAUAUAUGGUCCUCACAUACUUGAUCAAAUCUAAAAUUGUCUCGUCCUGAAUUUACUCCUUUAACAUCCUGGUGAGGAGGUUCAUAAGCACAAACUAAAAGAAAAAUUGACAUAGAAAGAAGAAUAUUAAAAUAGGUUUACCCAUAAAAAAGUCUCAUUAUAUAUAAUAAACCGAACGAGAUUGUGUCAUAGAAGAAGAUUAGCUUGAGAGCUCGCUGUAGCAAUCCCAAAACAUUAUCUAAUUUCUUUUUGUAUAGUUUGUUUUAAUUACAGGAUAUGAAAACAACAACACGUAAAAAGAGGAUAGGCUACAAAACAUGCAACAUUAUAGAGGGAAUACAAGAAAAAUGUAAAAAGCUAAUUGAUACGUACAUCUAACAAGAAAUGGAUCGACAUGAAACCAAGUGGUCGUCUGGAAGAAGAAAAAGAAGUCAUCAUAAAUAAUUAAUUAGGUGUUUUAUUUAUAAAUUUCAAUUUUGAACCAAGAAGAACUCUAAACACAAUCACUUAAAUUGUAUCAUUUUUGUAAUUGAUAUUAUUUUGAAUCACUUAUUAACAAUUGAUAUAAACAUAUGUAAUUUAACAUCAGUUAUAUAACUGAUUUUACCAUUAAUUAAUUUAGCAUUGAUUCAAUGAUAAAUGAUACAAAUUUUUAUUAAUUUAUAUCACUUUAUGAAAAGUGAUACAAAAAUAUGAAAACACAUUACUUAGAUAAUUGAUAUAACUACAUUUUUUGUUAAUAUUAAUUAAGAAAAUGAUACAAAUAUUACAUCAAUAAAAAAAAUGAUGCUAAUAAGUUUUUAAUUAUCUAUGAUGUUUGUCCCAUAUUGAUAACUAAGAGAGGAGUUGAGAAGUUUGAUUUUUUAAAAAUACCUAUGAUUUAUCUGCGGAUUCUAAAAACCAAUAUCAAAGUUUUUCAUAUAUAAAACGCUUAAAUAAAAUAUUUUAUAAACUAAUAUUAAAAUAAUUUAUAAAAGUUAGUACUAACUUAAAAUGAUUACAUAUAUGUAAAGUUGAUAAAAUGAUCUUUGUAUAAUUGAUGCAAUUAUGCAAAUAUUUAUAUCACUUGUUUAACUGAUGCAAAUAUUUACGUCAGUUGUUUAACUAAUAUAAAUAUUUGUAUAAUUGAUGUAAAUAUUUACAUUAUCAUUUUUAGAAUCACUUAAAUAAGUGAUAUAAACUUCUUUUACAUCAUAUAUACGUAAUGCAAAUAUAGAAAAUAAAUGAUGUAAUUCACAUUUUUUUUUCUUGUAAUGACACUAGAUUCAACAGCGAUAAUGGAAAUCAUGAAUUCGAGAUUCAACACGGAAAUAAGAAGCAUGAAUCAUGGGACAAACCGGGUGGACAAUUUCUAAACUUAUUAUUUUAUUUUUAAUUUAUAAACUUAUUUAAUAGCAUUUAAAUUUUAAUGAACACCUACAAAAUUGCGAAAAAUUAAAUAACAAAUUGCUUAGAUCCCUAGAUUCUCGUAGAUCUUAGAGCUCAAUAUUAAUGGAUAUAAGAGGUUUUUCAUCUAUUAUAUUAAAACAGAAACACUUUUAGUGUUUGUUUCCAAACACUCCCAAAAUUUUUUUUUAAAUAUAUAUAUAUAUAUAUAUUUAAUAUCGAAAAUUAGAUAUUUAUUUAGAUAACUAAUAAUUUCCUUAAAUAUAGGUAUAUCUAUAGUCUAUAGAUAUUAAUUUAAAUAAAAUUCUUUAUAUAUAGGUUAGAUUUAAUUUAACAUUUGAAAUUUAAAUAAGAUUUUCAGAAUAACACAUAUGUUUAACAAAUAUCUUACUAUAUUUUUUUAAUCAUAUUCUAUCAAAUUAAAGAUUCACAUAUUGAAAAGAGAUAAAUAUUAAUAUUAUAUAAUAAAUUGAUGGAACAAAUUAAAUUUUUUUAUUAUUAUGGCCUUAUGUGGGUUAGGUUAUCAAAGCAUGCAAAAUAUUAGGAGAAAAUUACUUCAAAAUUAGUAAAUAUUUAUAUUAUAAAGUAAUAUAAACAGGCGGGUUAGAAUUAUGGUUUCAUAAUAAUAGUUUUUUCGGAUUAAUAAAAUGAGCGUGUUAGAAAUAUAUUCUUAUAAUAACAGUUAUUUUUUAUUAAUAAAAUAACCGGGUUAAAAUUAUGCUUUUAUGAUCAUGAUGGUCAUAAUAAUACUGAAAAAAUAAAAAAAAUUAUAUCUAAACACAAAUUGUUUUAUAUCACUUCUUAAAAAAUUAUAUUUAUAAAGAAAACAUAAAUUAGAUUACAAAUUUUAAUUAAAACAAAAUUCUCGUGCGAAUGCACGGGAUAAAAUCUAGUGUAAGUGUAACAACAAAUGCCUUUUUUUCGUUCAUGAUUUUUAAUAAGGAUUACAUGUAAUAACAUUGUUUUUGCCAAAAGGUUUUUUAUUAGAGAUCUCGUUAAUCUACCCAAGUUAUAAUCCAUCACCAGUUCGAGGAUUGUAUCAUCGGAUGUGACCAAGUCAAUAACUCUCUGCCAUGGACUAGGUUAAAUCGAAUAAAAAUAAUUUAAGUUUCUAAUCAUAAACAUAAUGGUGCGAUUGGCUACGUUUCUUAAAAGAGUUGUUUUUCUUGCCGAAAAGGGAUUGGGUUUUGAAAUUUAAGUGAAAACAACCAAAUCAUCCCAUGUCGACCUAAUUCGGUUGGGUUUUUCCUUUAUAGUUUGUUGAAAUUUUGUUCACAUCCCUCCCUUUAUCAGUUAUUACCAAAGAAAGAUACAACUGAUAGAAAGAUAAUUGGGCCAAAAUUCCUCUUUAUUGUAUAACGUAACGUCUAGUCUUUGGUAAUGUUGUUUGUUAAUGAUUAUGUGUUUAUCGUUUCUUGGGCUUUCGUCACGUGAUCCUGCACCACUCCAUACUCUCACUCACUUUGUCACCGCCGCUCUUAUUUACUACAAACGCCAUUGUUUUGUUGUGAAAAUGUGAUGAGAAAUUUAGAAAUGGAAGUUAUUGCUUUCAUGUCUUUAUUUUUUCAUGGACACCAUAAACAAAGUAUAGACUUAAUGCUAAUUAAUUACAUGACAUAUGAUAGAAUAAUGAUAAGAAUGAUUAUUGUGAUUUAUAUGUGUGAAUAAUAGUAUGUUCUUCCAUUAAUACGUAAUUUUAGCUAUUAGGAGUAUCUUUAAUCCAAAAAAAAGUAAUAUUAGGAGUACAAAAGAAAUAUUCUUCCAGCUUCUUGUUGUAUAUACACUACAAAAAAAGAGUGUUUUACAUCACUUAUUUUUUAUGUUUACAUCAGUUUUAAGUGAUGUAAAAGAAUUUUGCAUCAUUUAAAUAAGUGAUUCUGAAAGUGGUGAUGCAAAUAGUUUGCAUCAGUUAUAGAAAGUUUUACAUCGAGUUUUAGAAUCGAUGUUACUAUGUAUCAUUUGCAAGAAAAUGAUGUUAAUACUUACAUCAGUUAAUUUAAUCGAUGCUAAUAUUUGUUACGGUUAUCAUAACUGAUGUCAAAUGAUACAUCAUUUGAUAAUAAAUGAUACUAACAACUGUAUCACUUAUAACAAAUGAUGUCAAUACUUAUAUCAUUUGUGUGUAAUUGAUGUUAAUAUUUGCUACGGUUAACAUAAAUGAUGUCAAAUAAUAUAUCAUUUGUUAAUAAAUAAUACUAAUAAUUGUAUCACUUAUAACAAAUGAUGUCACUAUUUAUAUCAUUUGUGUAUAAUUGAUGUAAAAAUUAGCAUCAGUUACCAGAAAUGAUCGUAAUAGUUAUAUCACAUAUAACAAUCGAUGCAUAAGCAUCUUGUGGUUUGCAUCAUUUUAUAGAAAAAUGACGAUAAUCUAAUAUAUUCAUAAACGUCAUUUUAGCAUAUUAAAAAAUAAAUUUAAUAAAUUUAAAAAAUAUUUACAAAUUAAUAUUAAAAUUUUUAAUCAAUUAAUUAAAAAAUUGAAUCUAAAUUGCAUAUUAAUAUAUUAAUAACUGAAUCACAAUGAAAAUCUAAAUUGCUUAUAAAUUGUAUCAUCCAAAUGAAAAAACUGUUUAAAACAUAAUUAAACUAAUUAAAUAAAAAGUUCUUAAACUAAUGUUGAACAUGCCCACCAUAAUCUUCAAUCACCACCUCUCUAAUUUCUGUUGGUAUCAUCUCCCGUUUCCUAAUAAAAAAGCAGACAACAAAAUAAGACUAAUUAGAAUAUCAUCUGAAAUUUAAAACCUAUAAAAUUAAUAAAUAAAAUUACAUUCACCUGAGAGUUAGUAGGAUUUGCUAAAUUCUUGAAAGCAGCCAUAAAAUUUUUAGUCCAUGCAAUUGAUGCCUAAAUAAACACUUUAAAAUAUCAGUUUUUUUUAAUUAUAGAUUAUAUGAAUACAAUAUAAAUUACAAAUGAUCGACAUACCUGUUCACCAGAUUGAGCAGCAAGUAUCUGUUGAAUGAACAUACUCAUAGACUUAUUUGUUUCUUCUAGUCCUUUCAUAUUUGUCUUCAUUCGAAUAUAGGCUUCAGAAUUUUCUAUCUCUGGUGUUACUUGAGUAGUUUUACCAAAUAACUUUGAAGGUGUGGGUCCACGUCCGACACAACGUAUUCGUCCUGGCCGUUCUAGACCAAACACUUGGGCAUAUUCAUCAUCCAAACUAGCUAUAACAUUGGCUGUGACUUGUCUUGAUGGAUUUUGGGUUAACAAUGUUGUAAGUGCUUCCUGAAAGUGAAUUAAAGUAUAAUAUUCGGCAUAAUCAAAAGAAAAUUUAUCAAAGUAGAAAUGAAUCAAUUAAGAAUUGAACUAACCCCACGUGUUUUAGCUUCCUCUGAUACAAAACUUCCAUCAGAUUUCGUACGAGUUGCAACGAAGAAUUCAGCUCGACUUGGUGUUUUUCCCGUCUUGAUUGUCUGGUACAUGCAAAAAUCAUAUACAUAAUUAGAUUUAAUUCUCAUGUAUGAGACAUACAAUAUAGUUUGUUUACUUACAAUCGCACGUCUUUUCCUUCCAAAACUCUUUCUUCCACACAAAUGAGGCAUAGUGUUCUUCUUUUGAUUCUUUGUAUUCCGUUCUUGCAUUUUCUGAAAGCUCAAGAAAAAAAAUUUACAUAUAUUUGAUAUAUUAUAUAACAGUCUAUCUAGUAAAUAAUUUAUACCUUCCAGUUUUCAGUGAAUCGUAAGCAUACGAAAUUAUGCCACUGACUUUCAGGAACAUUAUUGGGUCGAUUUUGCAUCGUUUCAGUCCGAUCAUCCCGUUUGUAAUUUUUCCAAAGACGCCCUUUGAAACUGUUGCAUCUGCUCCCUAGAACACUCAUCACAUACUUCCUUCUUGUCGUUGGGUUAUCAAACCAAAAUUUUGCCUACAAAUUUACGACAUCAGUAAUGUAUCUUUUGAGCCAAUAUCUCCAUGUGGCGAGAAUAAUGUGCUGUCAUAAUAAAUUAUUAAUAAAGAAAUUAUUAUUUCUCAUAACUCAAAUAAAACUACACAAAUAUUUGAGUUAUUUUACAAAUGUACAAGCAAAACCACAUAAAAUAGUUUAAAAGAAGCAAUUUAACAAUUAUUAAUGUAGUUUUUAUGAUGUAUAUAGUUGAUAAUAAUAUAUUCAGGAAUCAUCUAUUAUUUUAAUUUUAAACAAAGCAUAUGUAUAAUAUUUUUAUUUUUUAACAAUAAUCCAUAAGUACUAAAAACAUCCAAAAUAAUUCUAUGAGUAAAAAUAAAAAAUCUAAAUUAAUAAUAUUUUUAAUAUCAAAAAAUAUUAGUUUAUAUAUAUAUAUAUAUACAAAUAUUUAUUGUGUUUUUGUUAAAUAUUUAAGUGCAUCAUUUUGUAUCAUGGAAUGUCAAUUAAUUUAGUACACUUAUCGAUUGUAUUUAUUUGAGAUAAAACUGUAUUCUUGGGUAUAGUUUAUAUAUCGAUUAUCUGCCUUAUUCAGAUUAAUAAUUAAAGUGUUAAAAAAUAAAUUUAUUCUUUUAAAAUUAAAAAUAUUUAUAUCUUGUGAGUUAAUAUAUCUAAGUAUCCAAAACGUUUUAACACUAUUUAUAAAAAUACAUAGAUAUUACCUGAAUUACAUCCCACACCUUAUUUUUUGUGUUGUCACCAACCAAUCUCCAUUCAGUGUAGUCAAUAGGUAACAAAUUCACAUCAGUACUUAAUUGACCCAGCCAUGAUCCAAGUAAACCUCCAGAAUCUUCAACUGGUUGACCGCUAUCUCCAUCAAACUGUACUAUCACUUUGCAAUUUUGCAAUUUCCAAACAUCUCUAGCUGACACCAUUUUUCCUUCUAUGUUCCCAGCCGUAUCUUGUUAACAAUUAUAUACAUUAUGAAAAAAAUUAUUAGUCUAAGAUAACUCAAAUCAGCAUAAUAUAUUUAUAGAAUCUAUUUACAUUACCUAUGACUUGUACAUUCCAUUUGAAGCUUUUGCAGUCUUGAGCAAGUGUAGGAGGAGAAUCAUAAGUUAUAUCAUCUGGUGUUUGUGUCUCUGAAUCCUGAAUAUCACUAAAAGACUGCAAAUACUCCAUAACCUAAAUUAAAAAGUCAUAUUUAGUUAACAAUAACAUCUGUAGCAACGAAAAAACAAAGUGAAGGCAAAAUAUAUAUACGUAACAAAAUUUCAACUACUCUAUAAAAUUGCAAAUACAAAUCAUUCAUCAAAGUCAUCCUUAUUAGAAACGAGACUAAAAUAUACUAUAAUUUUUAGGAUUAUAAAAAGGAAGAUAGUAAAAAAACUAAUAAAAAUAUGUUGCUUGGAUCCAACUGCGUAUAGAUGAGAUCUAAAUAUAGUGGUUUAAUCAUACAAACUCCAUUCUGAAAUGAAAGAGGUGACGUCACCUAGACUUAAUCGGCCAGAAAAAUUUGUGACAAAAAUCUGCUAGAUUUAAUCACCUAAAUUUGUUCAUCGAUAAUUCUGAUGCUUAAUUCAUAUCAAAAGCCCACCGUUAGAUGUUCAGAUGUUAAUCAAGCUUAGUACUUUUAAGCGAGUUCGGCCAGAAAAACGACAAAGACAAAAAAGCAAUCGGCCAGAGAACGACAAACUUUUAAAACCUAGAUUUAGAAGUUGAUUUCGAUUCUGUCAAACCCAGAACAAAAGCAUAUAACAGAUAUGAUUAAACACAAAAAUAUCAAACAAUAUUACCUUGAUUUUAAGCAACUUCUGGUUUUUGAUAUGAUCAGCGCCGUUUUCCAAAGAGAGUAAAGAAGCCCUAAAUAUUAUUAACUUAGUGGUAAUCAAUUUAUAGAUAAUUAUUUAUUAAGACUUAAUAUGUACGUAAUUCAUUUCCCGCUUGUAAUCAAUUAAAUAGCGGGAAUUGUAAUUAAAAAAAUUCAAUUAUUUUGGACGACUAAUAAAUUCCCACUUAAAUAAUUGAACUUGUGACAACGGUGGGCAGUGGUGGCAGUUGAGAGAAGGAGAGAUUAUCAAAAUCGUUUGUUCUCUCCGGUUCUUGGCCUUCGCUCUUGAUCAUGUUCUUGAUGGUCACUGGCUUAACAUCUUCUUGGUCGAAGAACGAUUUGGUUUUAUUCAUGACAUGUCCAUCACGAUCACGAUUUGGUACCUGAUCAUCAUGAUCACGAAGAAGCUCUUGUUGUGGCCAUGUGAAGAUUGUUUGGUCUUGUCUCAUCAUGAAAGUAGUCUGGAUUUGUUGUUGUUGUUGUCCCUUCAUCAUCACCAUCAUCACCAAUCAUAUACUCUUCCCUGCAAACUUUUAGCUUUAGCAGUUUCUUUAAAUUUAUCCACUACGUUCUCUUGUACUUUGAUUAGGGAUAUCUUCGUAAUAAAUCUCAGAGACAGUAAGCAAAGGGGAAAAACGAAAAAAUUCAAUCCUCGGAUAGUCCUUUUUAAAACAGAGCUUAAUGUGAUGGUCACUGGCCACAUAUUUUGCUUUCCAUCGUUGUUCUUCUAUGUAAACAUCUGUCUGAGCUUAAUGUGAUGGUCACUGGCCAAAGGAUUGCCGUGUAUCAGGAUGGCUAGAAGACAAAGAUAUGGAGAGUGAGACAAUGCUCCUUACAGAGUUCAGUUACGACUUAGACAGGUCCAACGCACAGACAUUUGACAUUGCAGAUUCAGCUCACUCGGGACUUGUCAAUACUGUAAGGCUGACUUCACAUCCAACCAUGGAAGCUCAUCACACACUUGCAUCUACCGCUUCAGGGUUCACGGCCGUGAACUAGACUCAGUCUCUGUUGUUCAUGCUUGAUCUGAAAUCCACGUGAAACUCCUCUUCUCUGUAACAUUUCCUCUUAGAUAUCUCUCUCUCUCUCCUUUUCCUGGUUUAUGGGGUGGAAAAGCUUCGAGUCUGUAUUACUCUUCUUAAAUCUUCUAUAACAAAAAACGAAAACAAAGAGGAAAGAAAAUAAAACUAGGUAACAUUUCGAUUUGUUUUGAAUCCAUACCAAAUUCUAGUUAUCUUAAAUCUUUGUUAGUAAACAAAAAAGUUUGUUGGUAAUUUGGUAUGUCUUUUAAUAGUAUGGUUCAUAUGGUGUGAGGUUUAGUUGAUAAUAUUAAAACGAUGUUCGUGGUGCGCUUACUUCAACUUCCACUAGCUUUUUAAAAAUACAAAAAGUAAUAGAAAAGCAUCUCCUAAAACAAAAUAAUAAACUCAGAUUUAUAAAGCAUCGACAAACACAGAUUAAUAAACUCAGAUUUAGAAAACUAUCAGAUUCUUUGCUUCCUCUGUCCUCGGAGUUGCACAUCUCUGCAAUGUCACUUUUUGUGAAAUCUGUGUUUACAGAAUUAGUUGACCAACUUGUUCUAUCUUUUGCAUUGGAUCACCAGCAAGCAAGAAAAGCAGCAGAGAAAACACAUCAAGUUGUGAAAGUGGAAGAGAGAAUCAACAGAGUGGUGAUGGCUGCAAACAAAGCAGUGAAGAUAUUAAGAACAUUUAGAGAAUACAAACGAAUAAGAGGAAGGAUCUACGUAAUCCAGUUUGAAAAAUCUGCAUAACAUAUAAUUUCAUAAGAUUGAAAAAUAUAAAUCAGCAACAACACUCACCAUCAAACUAUUAUGAAGUAUCUAGAUCACCCAUAUCAUAUAUGUCUCUAGGCUGAAAAUGUACUGCAAUUUCCCACUCCGGCUCAAAAGGAUCUUUUACAUAAUACACCAUUUUAGCCUGAGAAGCCAAUAUAUAAGGCUCAUUCUCCUCAUCAUUUCCAAUAUGUAACAAGCGUGAAAAAUUAAGCAACUUAUGACCAUAUGUGUCAGUUUUAUAUCUUCGUUUAGAUCGAGUAUCAGCCCACUUGCAUUUGAAUAAUAUAACUUUGAAAACCUCAUAAUAGUUUAACUCCAUAACCUCAACCAAUUUUCCAUAGUAAGCUACAUCUCCAGCUAUUGGGUUAAGAUCACGAGAACUCGCGUAACUCAUAGUCUCAGCAGCCACAUAAACACCACUAUUUUGUGUUUUCAGGUCAGCCUCUCUUUCGGUUGUCCGGAACUUAAAUCCAUUGACAUUGUAAGCUGUAUACUUCACAACUUUCUCAGACGGACCUAGAGCUAAGCAUCGUAAAUCAUCAUUUAUACCAUCUAACUCAUUUUUUUCUACUUUCUCCUUGAUCCAUUUUGCAAAAUGGAGAUGCAUUUCUCUGUCAAUGUCAAUCGCACGAUUCCUCCUGUUCUGACGACCAUAUUUCUUCGACAACUCAUUUUUGAACUUCUUAUAAAGAAAAUUACACGAAUUAUUUUUAUUAAAAUAUAUCAAUAAAACAAAAAAAAAGUAUGUUCUUUGAUGAAAAAGACUUACCCUCGUAAGGGAUCAAGUAGAUGACAGUUGACUAAAAUAUGUCGAUGUGCUUGAUACCUCUCUACGUAACUAAGUGUAUGAACGUGACCUGCACCAACAGGUUUCCCAAGAUUUGGAAAAAGAAGAGGUAAUUCUGAGUUUGGUCUUACACUUGUGUCAGCCAGAGGUCGAUCGUCAGCACGGCUAACACGAUUAAAUCGUGUCUCUAUAUCAUCAAGAUACAUUGAGCAAAACGUUACACAUUCAUCAGCUAAAUACUGCUCACAAAUUGAACCCUCAGGUUUAGCACGAUUGCGAACAUAUGAUUUAAAAUAUCCAAGAGUCCUGUAAAUGAGUAAAUCAAGUAAGUUUCAACUUAUAUAUAAAUAUAGAUGUAUAUGUAAUGAGAAAAAUUCACCUCUCAAUUGGAUACAUCCAACGAAAUUGAACUGGUCCACCAUCUUUUGCUUCGUCGGUGAGAUGUACAAUUAAAUGUAUCAUCACUGUAAAAAACGAGGGAGGAAAUAACAUCUCCAUACGACAUAAAGUCACUACAAUACGGUCUUGUAAUUUAUCAAGUUCAUUGAUAUCAAUGACCUUAGCAGAGAUAUCUCUGAAAAAUCGACAAAGCUCAACAAUGACUGAAGUCACCUCUGGUGGCAGCAAUUUUCGAACUGUGAUUGACAACAAAUCUCGCAUUAUUAUGUGACAAUCAUGGCUUUUUAAACCUGAUAGCUUCCUAUUGUUAACAUCAACACAAUUAGAUAUGUUAGAAGCAUAACCAUCAGAGAAUUUUACAUCCUUUAAGACAUUUAGAAUAAUGUCUUUCCCAGCAUUAUUCAGAGUAAAACAUGCUGUCUGGUACUUUCCGGUAUCAUCGGGCCACAAAUCAGGACGUAUCCCAAGCUCACGAAGAUCUUUUCUAGCUUGUAAAUUGUCUUUUGAUUUUUUUUGGUCAUCCAAUAAUGUGUAGAUUAUGUUGUUGAACACAUUUUUUUCUAUGUGCAUCACAUCCAAGUUAUGUCGUACCACAGUAAACUCCCAAUAAGGCAAUUCAAAAAAUAUACUCUUUUUCCUCCAUUGUUGAGAAUUGUAUAUUUCUGCCUCGCCUCGACCUCUCUUUUUCCCAACUGAACCAUGUUUCUUACCAAGAAUAAUGUUAACUUGCUCAAGUUGAUGAACAAUUGUAGCACCUGUCAACUUCAAUGGUGGAGAUCGGGUUUCUAUUUUUCCAUCAAAACUAGUUUUAUUUUGACGAAAAUCAUGAUCUGGAGGAAGAAAACGACGAUGACCCAUAAAACAAUUUUUCUUUCCAUGGCGUAAACGUUGUCCACAUGAAUCAAAAUUGCAGUUUGGACAAGCUAAUGCUGUAUACGUAUUCCAACCAGAUAAAUUUCCAAGACCAGGAAAAUCACUAAUUGUCCACAUGAUGGCUGCUCGCAUGUCAAACGUUUGUUUUGUAGAAACAUCUAGCGUUUUGACCCCUUCAGACCAUAAUUCCUUUAAUUCUUUGAUAAGUGGCUGCAAAUAGACAUCAAUAUAUUUCUUUGAAUUUUUUUUGUUGUUUUUUUAAACUUAUUAAUAUUAUAUUAAAAUUUCCCAAACCAGGAAUCAGAGCUGGUUUACAAUUUGAUAACCGAAAUAAAAUAACUGAAUCAAACCAGAAAACAUUUGAGAGAAUCGAAAACAUCACCACCGAAAAAGAGAAUUUGAAAAAUAAAUUGAAUGAUUUCUUAUGCCGAUGGACUUCUGCCCCGGCGGCUAUGAAAUACAAGCUUUGCGGCACAUCGCAACCGUCAAUAUCAGCUUGAGAGCCGACCCAAGCCUCCAGAUCCGGCCAGUGAGUCCUGAUCCCCACUCGAUAUUUCUCGGAAAAAAAAAUCCGACAAAAGAAAUCACAGUUGAAAAUGAGCUGUCUCGAAGAAAUUUGAGCGGAGAUCUACCAUCACACAACACCGAAACUCUCUUCAGUCCACCGAUUUCCGGUUUUACCAACCAAUCCUUCGAUCCAGCCAAAGAAUCCAAGACAGCCUCCGGGCAACAAGGAAGAUAACUUACCGUCGUCGCCGUGAAGAACUGCGAGUCCGCAUAGAUCGGAGACGACCACCGCGGAAUCCAUCCUCAGCUUGUAGUGCAACCCACCUAACCGUUGCGACGACGCCAGAGUUCCUUUCACAUCUCUUCCGCCGCAUCCUCAAACAGCUUCAGAGCAUCUGAAAAGCAUCUCGGUUUGUCGAUGUAUCCGCCACAGCGCUACCUCGCCGCGUCGGUUGAACCACGCCACAACACCACCAGAGAAAGGAUGGCGAUUCUUCAAGCUUCUCCUUGCAACCAGCACCAUCGAUGAAGAGCAAAAGCAAGAUAAGAAAGGGGGACCCCCUCGCGGUGCCGAUGAAGAGCUCCGGUGACCGUAGGGGUCCAAACGAGGAUGAACAAAAUUGCCUACUAACGAGAAAGUAUUUUAGCGCGUCAGAUCUACUCUCUUUGUUUAUCCCUUUAUUUCUCUGAAUCUUGUUUAACUGAAUUAUAUACAUUAUAUUGGAGUUUUUACAUAAUCUUCAAGCCUCAAGAUCUGAUAAUUACUCUCACCAAAAAAAAAAAGAAUUUCAAAAGACUCAUUUCAAAACGUUGUUUGGUCACAUAUGAACUAUAAUGCCAAUUGCUAGUGAAAUACCAUUGUCACAACUAGAACUGUAAAGUUUUUUUUUAAAACUAGAACUGUAAAGUUCAUGUAAGUGUUUUGAUGGAUAUUUAAUAACUGAAUUACAUACAUUAUAUUUCUUCGCCAAGAUACAAAAGUUGUGAUUCUACUUAAUAAUGUUUAUCACCACAACAUUAGUAGAAAAAUAUGAAUCCAGUAAGGAUUUUUUCACUACUUGAAACAGUUCGAGGACAAUCAUCCAUAAACUCAUGACUUUUAAUUUUAUUUUACAUUUGGUUGUUCAAUAAACUUAUGAUUCUUGUGUUUAAAAUCGCUCUAUUCUUCAAGAUCUCUAUUUACUUUUAUGAGCAUGUGUUCGCAAAGGUUUUAUAAACUUUUGUAAACAACAACUAAGAUUGUAAUUACUAUCUUACCUUAUUGGUAUCGAGUUAUAUAUGUUUUGUUGAUGCUAUAAAGCCACAACUUUUGUGAUAUUCGUUCUUAAAAAGAUGAAAGUAAAAUUUCAAAUUUGUCCCAAACUUCUAAUGGUUUUUGUUGUUCUUACCAAUUUUACAUAAAUUAUGGCCCCAUAAACAAUACUAUAUUUAUGGGUAAACUGUUCCAAGCACGUUAUAUUCCUUUGUCAAUAAGUAUAAACAUGUGUUACUCUAUUAUUUUUUUUUUCACUUCUAAUAUAUGAGCAUUUUUUUCAGCUUAUCCACUUUUAAUUACAAAAUAAAUAAAAAAAAUAUAUUUUAUCCAUUAUUCUGACAGAGAAAACAAAAAUUAAUAGAGGGAUGAGGCAUACGAAAAAAAUACAAAAUAAGAAUUUGAAAUUGGGGGUUACACUUACACAAAGAACCGUAUCCUUUUUGAAAUUUCGAAUAGAAAAAAAAAAAACAAAUCGGCGCCUCCGAUGUUUGGGGAAAUAAGGAAAAAAACACACAACAAUAGUUUAAAAAAAAGAAAAUAAUAUACGCUCCCGUUGUUACCUCUGCUAUAUAAAACGCAUCCCUCUUCUCACUCACUUCACUCUAGAAAACCCUAGAUCUCUCUCUCUCCUCCUCCGGAUUUGGAUUUCGAUUCCAGAUCCGCGAAAAUCCUUAAUCAUCGUCUCUUUCAUCACUUCAUCCACCGAAAAUGAGAGAGAUCCUUCACAUCCAGGGUGGCCAGUGCGGUAACCAGAUCGGUGCCAAGUUCUGGGAAGUCGUCUGCGCCGAGCACGGCAUAGAUCCGACCGGUCGUUACAUCGGAGACUCAGAUCUGCAACUCGAGCGCAUCAACGUCUACUACAAUGAAGCUAGCUGCGGUAGAUUCGUCCCUCGUGCUGUACUCAUGGAUUUGGAGCCUGGAACCAUGGACAGUCUCAGAUCUGGACCGUACGGUCAGACUUUCCGUCCUGAUAACUUCGUCUUCGGUCAGUCUGGUGCGGGUAACAACUGGGCCAAGGGGCAUUACACUGAAGGAGCUGAGCUAAUCGAUUCCGUCCUCGAUGUUGUUCGUAAGGAAGCCGAGAACUGUGAUUGUCUUCAAGGUAAAUCUUCAAGAUACAUUCGAUUUUUGGGUUGAUUUCGCUUUUGUUCAACUGUUUUCCUGAGUGAUGGAGUUUGAAACUGUGUGGAUUUUGCUCUGCAGGGUUUCAGGUUUGCCAUUCCUUGGGAGGAGGAACUGGAUCUGGUAUGGGAACACUCUUGAUUUCAAAGAUCCGUGAAGAGUACCCAGAUCGAAUGAUGCUUACCUUCUCUGUGUUCCCUUCGCCAAAGGUCUCUGACACUGUCGUUGAGCCUUACAACGCUACUUUGUCUGUGCAUCAGCUUGUUGAGAAUGCAGAUGAGUGCAUGGUUCUUGACAACGAGGCCUUGUACGACAUUUGCUUCAGGACUCUGAAACUCACCACCCCAAGCUGUAAGUCCUACUAAGCUUUCAUUGUCUCAUUGGUUCUGUAUCCUUAUGUGUAGUUCUGUUGAGCUGUCUCCUUUCUCUGUGUGAUGCUUUUUUGUUUAUCUGUGGUCAAUAUGCUUUGUCUAGAUAGUGAAAUGAUUUGGUAAUUGUUUCGUAUAGCCAUUACAAUUUGCAAUUUCUGGCCUGAUUGAUACUCUCGCUAUCUACUGGUUUCAUUGGUCUGUUCUUGCAUAGAUACGCGUCCUGUCUCAUGUGUUAUUGGUUAUCUUCGUUGAUCUCAUCACCAAAAUAAAUCGUUGAGUUACUCUCUGGUUAAGUGUCAUCAUUUUAUUUGGUACGUCUUGUAGCAUAAGGGAUACUCAGAAUCUAGUAUUUGUAUAGAGCAGUAAAAAUUGUUGACUGCCUUUAGUUAUCUGAAAUUGAACUACCUGCUCUAAAAUGUAGUGUUGCUUUUGCGGUACAUCUUUGUUUUCCUGUGUGUGUGUGUAAAUGACUAAGAGGUAACUCACAUACUUGUUCACUCUCUUUAUGCAGUUGGUGACCUGAACCAUUUGAUAUCUGCCACAAUGUCUGGUGUCACAUGCUGUCUGCGAUUCCCUGGUCAGCUAAACUCUGACCUUCGUAAGCUUGCUGUCAAUCUUAUCCCAUUCCCUCGUCUCCACUUCUUCAUGGUGGGAUUUGCUCCUCUCACCUCAAGAGGAUCUCAGCAGUACCGAUCCCUCACAGUCCCUGAACUCACCCAGCAAAUGUGGGACUCCAAGAACAUGAUGUGUGCUGCUGACCCAAGACACGGCCGCUACCUCACAGCCUCUGCCAUGUUCCGUGGCAAGAUGAGCACCAAGGAAGUCGACGAGCAGAUGCUGAACGUGCAGAACAAGAACUCUUCUUACUUUGUCGAGUGGAUCCCAAACAAUGUGAAGUCAACAGUCUGUGAUAUCCCACCUACUGGUCUGAAGAUGGCUUCCAC
rnacentral:lncRNA from 1 species